rnacentral:rRNA from 1 species
AUUGAACGCUGGCGGCAUGCUUUACACAUGCAAGUCGAACGGUAACAGGCCGCAAGGUGCUGACGAGUGGCGAACGGGUGAGUAAUGCAUCGGAACGUGCCCAGUCGUGGGGGAUAACGCAGCGAAAGCUGCGCUAAUUCCGCAUACGAUCUAUGGAUGAAAGCGGGGGACCGUAAGGCCUCGCGCGAUUGGAGCGGCCGAUGUCAGAUUAGGUAGUUGGUGAGGUAAAGGCUCACCAAGCCAACGAUCUGUAGCUGGUCUGAGAGGACGACCAGCCACACUGGGACUGAGACACGGCCCAGACUCCUACGGGAGGCAGCAGUGGGGAAUUUUGGACAAUGGGCGCAAGCCUGAUCCAGCAAUGCCGCGUGCAGGAAGAAGGCCUUCGGGUUGUAAACUGCUUUUGUACGGAACGAAACGGUCUGGGUUAAUACCCUGGGCUAAUGACGGUACCGUAAGAAUAAGCACCGGCUAACUACGUGCCAGCAGCCGCAGUAAUAC